GUUUUGGCUCCUUUAAUUUUUGGAGAAAUUAUAGCGUAGUACAGUAGUACCAUGUCGGCCGUGAAAGUUUAAAUUUCGCCAUCUAUUAUUACUUUUAUACACCUGGAAUUUAAUAUUUGUUUUUCUUUUUAAAUAAAUUAAAAACAGAAAAAAUGAAAAUAGGAGAUCGGACGUCUCCUUUCCCCUCCUCCGUUUGGAUGCAGGGAUGGUGUUGGUGAUAAUCAGACUAGGGACAUGAUUUCGAUCUCUCUCUCUCUCCCUCAUCUGGGCCAAAUCCCAGUUUACUCCGUGCCGCCUUCAACGGCAAAGCGCAGCAAACCCUAAUCGUCUAACCUUUAAAUCAAACCAGCUUCCUUCUUGCAUCUUUUGUUUCUUCCAAAGACAAAAAACGCAUGAGUAAUUAGAGGAAAUAAUCAGAGCAAAAUGGUGCAUGAAAGGGAUUACUGGAUUGGGUCAAAGGGGGAAGGAGAUCGCGAUCUCCGAUGUUCUUCUUUUUUUCUUUUCUUAAAUUUGUUAAAAGGUAAAAAUAAUAUUAAAUUCCAACAACUUAAAAAUAUGACAAAUGGCAAAAUUUGAAUGGAAGUAGCACGGCUGAUGUGGCACUACCGUGCUACUCUAAAUUUCUACAAUUUUAGUGCUUUUGCACGGUACCGAAACUCAAGCAAACCCUAAAUCCAAAAUCCAGGGGGAAGCUUUCGCUGAAUCAGAAGCUGAAACGAUGUCGUACGACGACGUGGAGAUCGAAGAUAUGGAGUGGAACGAGGAGCUGCAGGCUUACACGUACCCGUGCCCGUGCGGUGACGUGUUUCAGAUCACGAAGGACGACCUGAAAUUGGGGGAAGAGAUCGCUCGGUGCCCUAGCUGCUCUCUCUACAUCACCGUCGUUUACAACAUCGAAGAUUUCUUGGAUAAGAAAAGCAGCAAGCCCAUCGAGCCCCCAAAGCUGCAGCCCAUCACCGUCGCGUAAAAUUUCAGAUGGCAUUACCCGGAGGUCGCAAAGUGGGCAGAAGGAUUCUUCGCAAGUUUUGUGAGAUUCUUAGGUAGAUAUGAUGUGUUUGAGUGAGGGGUGACGGAUGAGGAAUCUUUUUGUAUUCAACCAGCAAAGAAAAAAGUAGAAUGUGAUAUGCUGAGGCCAUUCUUAGAGUCUUAAUUGAGCUAUUAUAAGUGUUUGUUUGACAUUUAUUAUUUGUAUUCUGAUACUAGUAAAAAUAAAGAGUAGUCUUAAACUCA